GAGCCGAAGGGAAACCGAGUCUUAACCGGGCGUUAAGUUGCAGGGUAUAGACCCGAAACCCGGUGAUCUAGCCAUGGGCAGGUUGAAGGUUGGGUAACACUAACUGGAGGACCGAACCGACUAAUGUUGAAAAAUUAGCGGAUGACCUGUGGCUGGGGGUGAAAGGCCAAUCAAACCGGGAGAUAGCUGGUUCUCCCCGAAAGCUAUUUAGGUAGCGCCUCGUGAAUUCAUCUCCGGGGGUAGAGCACUGUUUCGGCUAGGGGGCCAUCCCGGCUUACCAACCCGAUGCAAACUGCGAAUACCGGAGAAUGUUAUCACGGGAGACACACGGCGGGUGCUAACGUCCGUCGUGAAGAGGGAAACAACCCAGACCGCCAGCUAAGGUCCCAAAGUCAUGGUUAAGUGGGAAACGAUGUGGGAAGGCCCAGACAGCCAGGAUGUUGGCUUAGAAGCAGCCAUCAUUUAAAGAAAGCGUAAUAGCUCACUGGUCGAGUCGGCCUGCGCGGAAGAUGUAACGGGGCUAAACCAUGCACCGAAGCUGCGGCAGCGACGCUGAUGCGUUGUUGGGUAGGGGAGCGUUCUGUAAGCCUGCGAAGGUGGCCUGUGAGGGUUGCUGGAGGUAUCAGAAGUGCGAAUGCUGACAUAAGUAACGAUAAAGCGGGUGAAAAGCCCGCUCGCCGGAAGACCAAGGGUUCCUGUCCAACGUUAAUCGGGGCAGGGUGAGUCGACCCCUAAGGCGAGGCCGAAAGGCGUAGUCGAUGGGAAACGGGUUAAUAUUCCCGUACUUGGUGUUACUGCGAAGGGGGGACGGAGAAGGCUAUGUUGGCCGGGCGACGGUUGUCCCGGUUUAAGCGUGUAGGUGUGUGUUCCAGGUAAAUCCGGUUCACUUUAACACUGAGGCGUGACGACGAGGCACUACGGUGCUGAAGCAACAAAUGCCCUGCUUCCAGGAAAAGCCUCUAAGCAUCAGGUAACAUCAAAUCGUACCCCAAACCGACACAGGUGGUCAGGUAGAGAAUACCAAGGCGCUUGAGAGAACUCGGGUGAAGGAACUAGGCAAAAUGGUGCCGUAACUUCGGGAGAAGGCACGCUGACACGUAGGUGAAGUGAUUUACUCAUGGAGCUGAAGUCAGUCGAAGAUACCAGCUGGCUGCAACUGUUUAUUAAAAACACAGCACUGUGCAAACACGAAAGUGGACGUAUACGGUGUGACGCCUGCCCGGUGCCGGAAGGUUAAUUGAUGGGGUCAGCGCAAGCGAAGCUCCUGAUCGAAGCCCCGGUAAACGGCGGCCGUAACUAUAACGGUCCUAAGGUAGCGAAAUUCCUUGUCGGGUAAGUUCCGACCUGCACGAAUGGCGUAAUGAUGGCCAGGCUGUCUCCACCCGAGACUCAGUGAAAUUGAACUCGCUGUGAAGAUGCAGUGUACCCGCGGCAAGACGGAAAGACCCCGUGAACCUUUACUAUAGCUUGACACUGAACAUUGAGCCUUGAUGUGUAG
rnacentral:rRNA from 1 species